CAUAACACUUUUUAUUUAGUUUUUUUUAAGUUUAUACACAGAGAAAUUCCUCUUACUGCAUGUAUACAGUUUUAUCUAAUUGGAUCCACUGUGUUCUUGUUCUGUAUAAUCGAUUGAUGCAACUGCCAAAGAUGCUGCUGGGACGGUGCAGAUCGAUGGGAUGAAGUACAAGCUCAAGAAUAUCCAUUGGCACUCUCCUUCAGAGCACUCAUAGUACAGUGUUUUGUCAGUUGAUUUGAUCAUAGGAGUCCAUCGAUCAAUGCGUGUGCUUCCUCGAGCGGACGCAGGUCUUGUUCAGUUUGAUGUUCAACCCCCGCACAGGCGCCAAGCACAAAGCCGUCGGACCAGAUCAGCCACCUGCCUACAUCCUACCUCAAUAUGAUGUGAAGUCAUCUUGAUUUUGUAAUUUCUCACUUAGUGAGUAAGUAGAUCGAGCUCCAGUCGAAGUAUCUUUGUCGCCUAUCGUCAUGCCCCAACUGAACAGGCAAGAAAUUUGAACUUAGAUGCUCUAUUCUCCAACUCUCCAGUUCAGAUAGAUACCCAUCAAAUUGCCUUGGCCCUAAUGUCGGAUCCAGAAACUAUCAGAUUUGGAUGUGUCUAUGUAUCAACACUAUAAUUGACUCCAUUAUGUAAUAGGAGGCUUCUCAGUUGUGGCUCCAUGUCUCAGCAAACGAUUUAGAAGUUGUACUAUACUACAAUACAUAGAUUGAACGCAAGCAGAUUUUACAAAAACUAUAAUGUGAGCAAAUGCUGUUAAAACACUUAGUACCCAUGUAACUAAAGUUUUACUCCAAAAUAAUAGUACAAAGCUACGAAAAGAAAACUCAAUUGUAAAACUCAGUAGUAGCAUAGAGCUCCAAAAUAGGAACACAGGGCCAUGCUCAGUAACUUCACACUCGAGGUAAUCUUUAGUAGGUCAUUGAAGAAAACUGUGCAAAGAUAGUGGGAAAAAAGUAUCUCUUAAGAGCAUAACCUAACCAUAGCCUAAAGCAAAUUUCAAUUUACUGAAUCAAUAUCUCAUUAGAUAUUUCUGUCUACUAACUAUGUAGCACAAGAACAUCAUAAAUAAAUUUUCACUUGCUAAGCCAACAAACAUUUGUGUCUGCUAAACCAUUGGCCUGAGUGGUGGUGCUCCCAUGCAUGGGCCAACCUAGUGAACAUAGUUUGCUACUGGUAAGUGGAAUUAUUCUGGCUAAUCAUGGUUAGAUCUGCUGCUAUUCCACGGAACCCGACUGGAAGUUAUGUGUAUUCAGUUUUAGUUCAAAUGGAGUUAGUUGAUUUCUGUUAUAAGAUUUUUAGUUCAAUUUCUCUAUCGUUUAUCGCAUUUCGCAUGUGCUUACUGACACGAUACACCCAACCAUGAAAUUAGAUGCUUCCUUAUUAUAAAUAAGGGAUGGACACUGAAUCUGGUGACAAAAGAGGCAGAGAUAGACAGUGACCAUCAAUUCAUCUUCAGAAAAGUCCGCGGACUUGUAGAGAUUUUGACUCCCUUUGGCCUAGCUAGUAGGUACAUCUAUCAGCAGUUCAGAGUGAAGCUUAUAUUGCGUUGCUAUGAUCACCACUAUUUUAUUUUCGAGUCAACGAUAAAUUUAGAUUGCUAAUGUAACUACUCAUGUACUUAAAUUAGAAAUGUUCUCAUCUAUCAUAACUGAUUAGCACUAUUCGUUAGGAAAUAGUAUGCAACCUUUCUUUCAAUAACUUCUCUUGCACAAGGUGGAUUAUAAGUACUGACCAUCUAAAAUUGUAGCUCAAGCAAAUAAUUAUUUAUGUAUACAAAAGGAAAAGAAAUAAACCACAACAUACCCUGAAAGAAGUGGUACAUGACAUGAACCAGUGAUUCUGGAUAAAUGAAUCGAUGACUUCUCUGCUAGAAAUGUUAGCAUACACAAUACAUGUAUAAUUGCUAGUUAGAGCGUAGUGAACACAGUAACUUCUCAUAGGCAAUAGCGAUAAAAAUCAUCCAAUCUAGUCACCUGCCGAUUAAUUGCUUGCACACCUCAUUGCCGCACACAAUGGUCAGUAGCAACAUGCAAACAAUCUUUUGUUCAAGAUCUUGCGAGUCAUGCACUGGCUGCCCAGUAAUGAAAUUCAAAAAUAGCAAAUGCAAAACCUUAUGUGCAGAGGAAUCAACAGCGGCUCACCUUGGCUCCUGUUGAGUGUCGAGGAGGAGAGGUGCCCACAAUCAAGGGAAAUCUGAAAUUGAUAAGAGAAUAUCAAAUAUGUAGUUAUGUAUAAAACCGAAAAGGUGCCUUCUGAGAUGUCAACUGAAAGUAACCCACUGAUGUUGGGAAGGAUUUAUAAUUUAGAGUUUGAUCUUCACCCAAAAAAAAGGGAAAGCUAUUGAUCUGCGUUCAGUUUACUCUGAAUUUUACCAAUUCAAUAUAUGCUCUCGUGUUUCAGCUUUGGUAUGUGAUGCUGCACUUCUUCGAUAUAUAUUCAGUUGACUUUCGGGAUUACUUAUACCAGUUUAAAAACAAACAUGUACAUUGCAUCUGAUAAUCACUGAAAGACUACAGUGCACCUUCUGUGAGUGCAUGCUGUGCUGAUCUUUCUUUAGGUUGAUCAGUUCACCACAAGAAUGAUAUAAAUUUGUUCGUUGUUCUAACUAUUGCAAAAUUGAGCUGCUUGGAUAGGUGAAAAAUUUAUGACAAAAAAAAGGCAUACUCAGAUCCCACAUCAAGCAACAAGCAAGAAAUCAAGAGCUGCUCAAGCUGAGCUCCAAAUCGGCAACUUCCGUGCAGUAUUCUUCGACCAGAAGUUCAACCAUAAAUAAACAGAGUGAAGCUUGAUAAAACCUCAUGAAUGGAUGGAACCCUGGCCAUACCUCUUCUUCUCCAGGAAACAGCCGCACAAAUUUUCCAUUGCCGCUCCUCUAAGUCUUCUGACGGGGUUUUGGAUAACUAACUCCCUGCUGCUCUGCGGGAGCUUACAUUUGACCGUUACCUCUCUUUGCAAAAUGUUGAACGAAUUGUUUCGCAGGACAAGAUGAUGGCUAUCAGAAAAAAUUAAUUGCUCCUGAGCAAGGGUACUGUCGACUAAUAGAGUCUGGUCUCCGUUUAUUUAGAGGGCCAGCUGAAGCUUCUGUAGAUGGUGCAAGAUAAUAUGUGAUUGCUAGCUGUGUGUGUUGAUUGUUGUGUGACGUGGAGAAGUACAUUUGUACUUGCAUAUGUUGUGUGAUGAACUUGAAAGUUGAAACAUGUCAUGUUAGAUGCAUGUUGGAAACAAUCACAUGAUGUGUUUUGAAUGUGAAUUACAUUAUGUGCUAUGUUUGCUUGUAAUUUUGUUGUAAUAAUUCUAGUAAUAUAGCACUAAUUUUAGGCUUGGUUAAACAUGUUUAGAUCCCCAAUCACACACGGUUCUGG